rnacentral:snRNA from 1 species
GUGCUUGCUAGCACAUAUGGUAAAAUUAGAAAGAUACAGAAAAGAUUAGCAUGGCCCCUGUGCAAGCAUGACACACAAAUUCAUGAAGGAUUCAUGGUCUAU